AUCUAUAUCUAUCUACAUAUAUAUAUGUACUGAAGUAUAUAAUCUAUCUAUUUAUGGAACUUCUUUAUAUGUAUAGAAGUUCUGUGUUGCUCCUGCUUUAUGCAUGAGGAAAGGGCAUACAUAUAAUGAAGAAAGAAGUUAACUUUUCCUUGUACUCUUCCUUUGUAGCCCGUUGAGGCUUUUGGUGAGAGGAAUUAUAAUCUUUUUCCUAGCAGCACUUCAUGAACUGAAAUCAUUCUCUAGGAUGAUGACGACAUGCCAGUUCUCGGUAUAUGGAUAUGAGUCCUGAGAUCCCACACAUGGAUACACAGAAGGACUGCAUAAUGUGCUGAAGAUGGGGGAGAAGGUGCUGGAAUUGCCUGUCUGGACGUGUGCUGAGCUCUCGCUGCUGUGGACUGUGCAGCCUUAAUUGCUGCAGGUUCCUGUUCUUCUCACCAGCUCAAAGUACACGUGGGGUUUUUUCCCCUUCUAUAUAGAGCUGUUGAGUUUGGUGAUUUUCCUGAAUUGAGGAUACUGAAGGUCGAGAAGGAAGAUUUGUCUCUUUUUGUGCUUUUCUGUUGUUAUUUUUAGCACCUGCUCACCAUCUGGACAUGGUUGGAAUACUGGAAACAUAAAAGUUUUUAGAUUCAGUGCUUAUUUAUGCAAACCCAGUUUUUUUACCUUUUUUUUUUUUUUUUUUUGGAAAGGUCUCCAUUUGUCUGGGCACUGUUCCUGGUAUUUUGAUGUAGAAAAGGUCAUGUGAACAGCAGGGAGCAGUGAGCACUUGGAAGGGGGGGUGCAGGUCACCGGCGAGCCUGGGACAAGACCUGAGCCAGAACUUGUUGGGCCCUUGCAGAGAGAGAAGCAGUAAAUGGUGUUGGAGAGUUUUUGGGAGUGCUGUCGGUCCCCGAGGCGGCUUCGGAUCUCCGCGGUCACCGACGCUGCCGAUUUUCCCGGCGCGCGCCGUUCGACGUCGAGGAGCGGCAUCCAGAGGCUGUGUCGGAGCAUCUUCCUGGCUGGAAUGUUUUGAGUAAGGGCUGCAGUCAGGGUGUAAGCUGAAGGGUGUGUGACUGUGUGUGUGUGUGACUGUGUCUGUCUGCCUGCGAGAAGAGUGCGGGUGUGGAAUGGUUCGAACCUUGUGUGUGGGAGUUUUGCCUUUCAGCUACUUUUUAAACUUAGAGUAAAAACAACCCAGCUGCGCUGGCUGGGGAUUUUUUCCCUCCGGGCUGGGUUUUUUUAUCUGGGACCCGGCCGGUCUGUGAGGUGCCGUUCAUCGCCAGGGUUUGGGUGCCGACCGUGCCGGGGAUUUGUCAGGCGGGAUGAUUUUGGGGCUCCCGGGAACCGCGUUCCCAUGGGGUGCUCUCGAGACGAGAGCGAGGGUGGGUUUGUGUGUCAGCUGAAGGAGGUGUGUGGUGGAUGAGUGUUUUCUUCUCCGUGUGCUGCUGUUGUUUUGGGUUUCCUGGAACAAUAAAAUGUCCUAAAUUUUCCAGAAAUAGAACAAUUGUUACAUUGUACUGAUAGGGGGUUGGCUUGUGUUGCUCUGUGUUCGUGUUUGCUGCUGCACUUGCACAUAUUGCUCUGUAUGUCAGUUGGACUUUGACCAGUGUGCAUAUGGAUUGUACUUGUGCUUGUGUACAUUGUUGUUUCCACUUGCUUUGCUGAAGUGUAAAUAAAAAACCCUCGUUCAAUCAAGCUGAAUAAACCCUAAUAAAGAUACCCCCCCUC